UACGGGGGGGGCAAGCGUUGUUCGGAAUUACUGGGCGUAAAGGGCUCGUAGGCGGCCAACUAAGUCAGACGUGAAAUCCCUCGGCUUAACCGGGGAACUGCAUCUGAUACUGGAUGGCUUGAGUUCGGGAGAGGGAUGCGGAAUUCCAGGUGUAGCGGUGAAAUGCGUAGAUAUCAGGAGGAACACCGGUGGCGAAGGCGGGUCUCUGGGCCGAUACUGACGCUGAGGAGCGAAAGCCAGGGGAGCAAACGGG
rnacentral:rRNA from 1 species